CACCUCCAGCAUAACCAGUAUUGGAGGCACUGCCUGCCCAGUGACAACCGUUAAACGGCCGCGGUAUCCUGACCGUGCAAAGGUAGCAUAAUCACUUGUUCUCUAAAUAGGGACUUGUAUGAAUGGCCACACGAGGGUUUUACUGUCUCUUACUUCCAAUCAGUGAAAUUGACCUUCCCGUGAAGAGGCGGGAAUAUAUUAAUAAGACGAGAAGACCCUAUGGAGCUUUAACUACUUAGCCCAAAAGAAACAAAUUUCACUACUAAGGAAACAACAACACUCUUUAUGGGCUAACAGCUUUGGUUGGGGUGACCUCGGAGAACAAGAAAUCCUCCGAGCGAUUUUAAAGACUAGACCUACAAGUCGAAUCACACAAUCGUUUAUUGAUCCAAAAAUUGAUCAACGGAACAAGUUACCCUAGGGAUAACAGCGCAAUCCUAUUCAAGAGUCCAUAUCGACAAUAGGGUUUACGACCUCGAUGUUGGAUCAGGACAUCCCGAUGGUGCAACCGCUAUCAAAGGUUCGUUUGUUCAACGAUUAAAGUCCU
rnacentral:rRNA from 1 species